UCUACCCUACGGGAGGCAGCAGUAGGGAAUUUUCGUCAAUGGGCGCAAGCCUGAACGAGCGAUGCCGCGUGAGUGAAGAAGGCCUUCGAGUCGUAAAGCUCUGUUGCGGGGGAAAAAGGCAGCAUCAGGAAAUGGGUGCUGACUGAUGGUGCCCCGCCAGAAAGUCACGGCUAACUACGUGCAAGCAGCCGCGGUAAUACGUAGGUGGCGAGCGUUAUCCGGAAUGAUUGGGCGUAAAGGGUGCGCAGGCGGUCCUGCAAGUCUGGAGUGAAACGCAUGAGCUCAACUCAUG
rnacentral:rRNA from 1 species